AUUGAACGCUGGCGGCAGGCCUAACACAUGCAAGUCGAGCGGAUGAAGGGAGCUUGCUCCUGGAUUCAGCGGCGGACGGGUGAGUAAUGCCUAGGAAUCUGCCUGGUAGUGGGGGAUAACGUCCGGAAACGGGCGCUAAUACCGCAUACGUCCUGAGGGAGAAAGUGGGGGAUCUUCGGACCUCACGCUAUCAGAUGAGCCUAGGUCGGAUUAGCUAGUGGGUGGGGUAAAGGCCUACCAAGGCGACGAUCCGUAACUGGUCUGAGAGGAUGAUCAGUCACACGGGAACUGAGACACGGUCCAGACUCCUACGGGAGGCGGCGGAGGGGAAUAUUGGACAAGGGGCGAAAGCCUGAUCCAGCCAGGCCGCGUGUGUGAGGAGGGUCUUCGGAUUGUAAAGCACUUUAAGUGGGGAGGAAGGGCAGUAAGUUAAUACCUUGCUAUUUUGACGGUACCAACAGAGAAAGCACCGGCUAACUACGUG
rnacentral:rRNA from 1 species